UCGAAAACCUAACCAAUCUUAGCUAAGCUGUACACCAGAUCUCAUGUCUCAUUAUUUCACUACUGUUCAUAUAUCAUCAGAUCGGAUUUUCCACCUAACCAACACUGUGAGCAGUUACUGCAGAUAAUGACGAACAAAAACGUGAUUUCCUUCAUCUAACUACGCAAUUUCGCCAACAGCAGUUGAAAAACAAUCGAUUCACGUGGAGGAAACGAAUUAAGCUUUGUAGAAUGAAGUUCGGUGUACUCACAGGGAUAUGAGAGUCUCUGGCGCUCCUUUUGGGGUCGGUGGCGGAGAAGACGGUGUAUACAAGCACAAACGUGCCGAUAAUCUCCGCGCCUAGUCCGACGCCGGUGCUGUAGCCGUCGGCGAGGAGAUUAGCGCCUCCGCCGUACCUUUUGUAGUACGAUUUCUGAAACGCCUUCACCAAACCGACUCCACAAAUCGCUCCUAAACACUGCGCCACCAUAUACAUAACCGCUCUCACCAGAGACACUUUCCUCGCGAGGAACAACCCUAACGUGACAGCUGGAUUGAUGUGACCACCUGCACAAGGUAAGCACGCACUCAAGUUUCAAAAAAAAGGUUCCUAAACUGAAAUUCAUCUCGAAAUUAGGGUUGAGGCUAUCGGACCUGAAAUUCCGGCGGUGCAGUAGACGAGAACGAAGAUCAUGCCUCCGAACGCCCACGCAAUGCCGAGGAUCCCCACGCCGCCGCACUCGUCGGCCGACGAUUGGCUCUUGUAACCGAUUACCGUUAAAA